GCUCGAGUGGCGAACGGGUGAGUAACACGUGAGUAACCUGCCCUUGACUCUGGGAUAACUUCAGGAAACUGGGGCUAAUACCGGAUAGGAGCUCCUGCUGCAUGGUGGGGGUUGGAAAGUUUCGGCGGUUGGGGAUGGACUCGCGGCUUAUCAGCUUAUUGGUGGGGUAGUGGCUUACCAAGGCUUUGACGGGUAGCCGGCCUGAGAGGGUGACCGGCCACAUUGGGACUGAGAUACGGCCCAG
rnacentral:rRNA from 1 species